CAAACUCUGAAUGGGCGUGGCUAACUUACUUGUGGUCCUGGCAAGACCAUGAGAAGUAGUAGAAUGGUGGCACAUCUAGUGGGCCAUGUUCUGGUAAGCAGGACUGGCGAUGUGGGAUGAACCAAACGUCGAGCUACGGGGCCCAAAUGGGUACUCAGAGACACCAUAAAGGGUGUUGAUUCAUACAGACAGCAGGACGGUGGCCACGGAAGUCGGCAUCCGCUAAGAAGUGUGUAACAACUUACCUGCCGAAUGAAUCAGCCCCCAAAAUGGAUGGCGCUCAAGCACUCUCCCUAUACUCGACUGUUGUGGUAAUUCCAAAAAAGAAUAAAGGAACCGCAACAAGUAGGAAGGCGUAGAGGUUAUUGCGAAGCCUUAGGCGUAAGCCUGGGUGGAACUGCCUCUAGUGCAGAUCUUGGUGGUAGUAGCAAAUACUCAAGUGAAAAACUUGAGGGUCGAAGUUGGAGAAAGGUUCCACAGCAACCGUAUUGGGCUGUGGGUUAGUCGGUCCUAAGACAUAGGGGAG
rnacentral:rRNA from 1 species